GGAGUACAAUUUACCACGCGAUUUAGAAACAAGAUAAAAAAAUUUGCUGUAUUAAAACUAAUUCUGGUUCGAAAUAAUAAAUAUAAAAAAGUUUUCACUUCUAACUAAUGGCCCUCAUGAUCAUAUGGAUUGUCUAUAGUUGAAAUAUCAAAUAAAUUUAAAACAUUAGUCGCUUUCCGGGAUCAUUAGUCCAUCCGUAGGAAAAGGAGAAACUAGACUUUUAACGUAGAUUUCUGUGUAUCGCCCACUAUCAUUGAGACAAGAGGAGUUGCUCAUUGUGAGUUCGAGUCUUCCCAAGAGCAAGGUGGAAAGUUUUUGGAGGGAAGGAUGCCGGGGGUCUAUU
rnacentral:lncRNA from 1 species